GGCGCAGUAGCCAAGGGGCUAAGGCGGGAGUCUGCAAAACUCCUAUUCGGCGGUUCGAGUCCGCCCUGCGCCUCCA
rnacentral:tRNA from 2 species